GUGCUCGCUUUGGCAGCACACGUAUGGAACGAUGCAGAGAAGACUAGCAUGGUCCCUGCACAAGGAUGACAUGUAAAUCCAUGAAGUGUUUCAUGUAUUU
rnacentral:snRNA from 1 species